GACAGAGGCCUCAAGCGUUAGGCGGAAUCACUGGGCUUAAAGCGUGUGUAGGCGGAUCGUUAAGUGUCUUGUGAAAUCCCACGGCUCACCCGUGGAACGGCUGGGCAUACUGGGCGAUCUUGGGCCAACUAGGGGCAACUGGAACAAGCGGUGGAGCGGUGAAAUGCGUAGAUAUCAGGAGGAACACCCGUGGCGAAAGCGGCUCUCUGGGACGGUACUGACGCUGAGACGCGAAAAGCGUGGGGGAGCAAACAGG
rnacentral:rRNA from 1 species